CACAGCUUGCAUGUCACACUUUCGGAAGAUAUUUCAUUGAAAUAUCUCCAUGUGUGACUUCUAUAUUUUUUACUGUCUCUGCUUCUACAUUCCAUAUCUCACAACUGCUGGUUCUUAGUGUAAUGGAAGGAUAGUUUGAGCUAUCUCAACUGCAGAGUACAGUCUUUGGUAGCCGUCUGGAUCUGCGACAUUUCAUUGCGCAUGUGCUGGGAUUAAAGGCGAACGUCUUCACCACUCCACAUAGCCCACACAUACAAAAGCAACAUUUGAAAAUAAUAAAUCAAGCAUUCUGCUUGACAAUAGCACGCAUUUUUAUUUUAAUUCUCACACGUACAUAAACGAGUCCAAUUUGAGCCCCCCAAUAAAAAAAAAAUCAUAACCGCACAAACGGAUCUAUCGGACCCGACUGCAAACCGCCAUUAGGAAAGACUGCUACCCCAACCCGAACCCUGUGGAAUUGAACCGACGGCCACAACCCGAGCUAACCAUCUUUGUCCCUCCUGCUGCGCAUUUUAAGCUCCACGUUUUGCACUACAAUUUGCUACUGUGCAAUCAAUAGACGUCUUACCGUGCAUUUCUCAAUGUGUUUUUUCAAGCUGGAAGUGCCUGUUCUAUGGCUAUCAUAGGCUAACACCCGCUUGCACUUUUUGCAUGCUGCGAAUCCAUCCACAUGUUGUUUGUCAGCGUUAACGAUUACUCCAAAAUGAUCCCAUACAUUUGAUUUAACUCGUGCCCUGUUUUUCACGAUUCUGAGCUCCCUAUUUUUUAUCUUUUGGGUCAAAUUCUGGUUUUCCGUGGUAUGCUUUUUGCUUUCCAUUUUGUCGGUCUUCUCUGGCUGUGCGGGUAGGGUUAUCCAGUGGGUAGUUUUCACUGUGUCAAUGCGCGCUGCAUGUGAUGUAAGCUGGCUGCAAACUACCGUAGCAGAGAAUAGUUUAGCUGUAGGCUUCUAUACGCUUUCUAGAAUGACAUUUACAAGCAAUACAACACCCGAUAAGAUGCAAUACACACACUUUACAGUGUUCAUUUGAGCACUUUUUUUGGUUGAUCUAGGGCUCUAUUAGCCCUUGACUCUCAGUUGCAUUAAAUUAGUCAUUGGACAAAGGCUAUUUUGUAGUUUUAAGAGCCCCGAUGCUCGGUCUGAACAGUUGUACUUGUGGUACAGUUUUGGAAGUAUAAGGACAUUAUCUUUAUCAGCUAGAAAGCAAAAAAGUUAAAUUGAUACACAUUUAUAGGGUUAGUGUUCCCGCACUGCCAUAUCUCCAUGUUACAGCGCUUUAACGGAGAACGGACGCGACCACCUGUACUAAUUAGCUAUCUAGCGCCUACUCUGGAAGUGCAGUUCGUUGGAUGGAGGCACCCAGACCUGUAUGGAUCUAUUCAAAUCUGCUACACUUGUACCACUGGGAGAGUUGCCCUGGCGUGGGCCUUAUUUGCAUCAAUGAUUUGUUGCCGCCAGAUUGGAGAACGGUUGCCGGGCAGAGAGGUGACUAGUGAAGGACUGGGGCAUGCUUCCCAGGCAACCACAGCAGCAGGAUUGUUUUGAUUAAAAAUCAGCUUUCCCAAGGCAAAGAAGGGGGAUAUGCUGUGAAACCUGUGAAGACAGACCCAACAUACUACAAUCAAAGGUACCAUCAUGUGGACCAACAGAAUUGUAACAGUGACACAGGCCUACAGUACAACAAGACCGGGCUACGGAGAAGGGCUCCUGGAUCUCCUCUUUAACGAGGUCACCCUUGAUCGAGCACCGCAUAUGUGGAAGCUGUGCUAGCUGUACGUCCCAGGACCCCUGUCGGCCCAGUGUGAGAGGCCUGCGCUGUACGUCCCAGGACCCCUGUCGGCCCAGUGUGAGAGGCCUGCGCUGUACGUCCCAGGACCCCUGUCGGCCCAGUGUGAGAGGCCUGCGCUGUACAUCCCAGGACCCCUGCCGGCCCAGUGUGAGAGGCCUGCGCUGUACGUCCCAGGACCCCUGUCGGCCCAGUGUGAGAGGCCUGCGCUGUACGUCCCAGGACCCCUGUCGGCCCAGUGUGAGAGGCCUGCGCUGUACAUCCCAGGACCCCUGCCGGCCCAGUGUGAGAGGCCUGCGCUGUACGUCCCAGGACCCCUGUCGGUCCAGUGUGAGAGGCCUGCGCUGUACGUCCCAGGACCCCUGUCGGCCCAGUGUGAGAGGCCUGCGCUGUACGUCCCAGGACCCCUGUCGGCCCAGUGUGAGAGGCCUGCGCUGUACAUCCCAGGACCCCUGCCGGCCCAGUGUGAGAGGCCUGCGCUGUACGUCCCAGGACCCCUGUCGGCCCAGUGUGAGAGGCCUGCGCUGUACGUCCCAGGACCCCUGUCGGCCCAGUGUGAGAGGCCUGCGCUGUACAUCCCAGGACCCCUGCCGGCCCAGUGUGAGAGGCCUGCGCUGUACGUCCCAGGACCCCUGUCGGUCCAGUGUGAGAGGCCUGCGCUGUACGUCCCAGGACCCCUGUCGGCCCAGUGUGAGAGGCCUGCGCUGUACGUCCCAGGACCCCUGUCGGCCCAGUGUGAGAGGCCUGCGCUGUACGUCCCAGGACCCCUGCCGGCCCAGUGUGAGAG
rnacentral:lncRNA from 1 species